UCGUUGUGUAGGAAAUGAAAAUAAUAUUUUCAGUUGUUCACAUAGAGAAUGGGGAUCACAUAAUUGUACACAUAAGGAAGAUGCUAGUGUACAAUGUUCAGUUAUCAACUCUGUUAGACUUCGGGGACCAAAAAGUUCUAUCGGCAGAGGUCGUGUGGAAGUAUUUUACAAUGGAGAAUGGGGAACAAUUUGUGAUGAUGGCUGGAAUAUAUACGAUGCUAAAGUUGUUUGUCGACAACUUGGUUAUGACAAUGCUGUCAGGGCUUUACAAGGAGGUUAUGUUUCUUAUGGCAGUGGAAGAAUAUGGUUAGACGACGUUCGUUGUAUAGGAAAUGAAACUAAUAUUUCGAGUUGUUCACAUAGAGGAUGGGGAUCACAUAAUUGUAGACAUACUGAAGAUGCUGGUGUACAAUGUUCAGGCUAUGAGGAAAGAUCCUAGUGAUGGGGAAUCAUGUCAAAGAAAUACACUAAAAACCUAAUUCUAAUCGAAGAUGCUUAUCGUAAAAAGUGUCGUGGAAAAUUUGAAAGCUUAUGUAGAAAAUGCUGUGUGUUUGACAUUUUUAUCCAUUGUUGAAAUGUAUCUGUAACACAAAACUACGUGUAAACAAAUUGUAAUCAACCAUAUUAUCAUAUAAAGUAAAUGUACAUAUUAUCAUAAUCAAUAAAAAAAAAGUAAAAUGAUAAAGUUUCAUUUCUGCUAAGAAUAAAUAUUAUUGACAAAUCA